AUUGAACGCUGGCGGCAGGCCUAACACAUGCAAGUCGAGCGAGCGGCGGACGGGUGAGUAAUGUAUGGGGACUGCCCGAUAGAGGGGGAUAACUACGGGAAACGGUGGCUAAUACCGCAUACUAUCGGAUAACCCAUAUGGGAUUAGCUAGUAGGUGGGGGAAAGGCUCACCUAGGCGAAGAUCUCUAGCUGGUCUGAGAGGAUGAUAACCCCCCCGGGGACUGAGACACGGCCCAGCCUCCUCCUCGGUCCCCCGUGGCGUCUUUUGCCCUCUGGGCGCAAGCCUGAUGUUGCCAUGCCGCGUGUAUGAAGUGGGCCUUAGGGUUGUCAUGUACUUUCAGCGGGGAGGCGUUACCCGCAGAAGAAGCACCGGCUAACUCCGUGCCAGCAGCCGCGGUAAUAC
rnacentral:rRNA from 1 species